rnacentral:rRNA from 1 species
UACGAAGGGGACUAGCGUUGUUCGGAAUUACUGGGCGUAAAGCGCACGUAGGCGGAUUCGUAAGUCAGGGGUGAAAUCCCGGGGCUCAACCUCGCAACUGCCUUUGAUACUGCGGAUCUCGAGUCCGAUAGAGGUGGGUGGAAUUCCUAGUGUAGAGGUGAAAUUCGUAGAUAUUAGGAAGAACACCGGUGGCGAAGGCGGCCCACUGGAUCGGUACUGACGCUGAGGUGCGAAAGCGUGGGGAGCAAACAGG